rnacentral:rRNA from 1 species
ACUCCUACGGGAGGCAGCAGUGGGGAAUUUUGCGCAAUGGGGGAAACCCUGACGCAGCAACGCCGCGUGGAGGAUGAAAUCCCUUGGGAUGUAAACUCCUUUCGAUCGGGACGAUUAUGACGGUACCGGAAGAAGAAGCCCCGGCUAACUUCGUGCCAGCAGCCGCGGUAAUACGAGGGGGGCAAGCGUUGUUCGGAAUUAUUGGGCGUAAAGGGCGCGUAGGCGGUUUGACAAGUCUGAUGUGAAAUCUAUGGGCUCAACCCAUAGCCUGCAUUAGAAACUGUCGGGCUUGAGUAUGGGAGAGGUGAGUGGAAUUUCCGGUGUAGCGGUGAAAUGCGUAGAUAUCGGAAGGAACACCUGUGGCGAAAGCGGCUCACUGGACCAUAACUGACGCUGAGGCGCGAAAGCUAGGGGAGCAAACAGGAUUAGAUACCCUGGUAGUCCUAGCCCUAAACGAUGAUUGCUUGGUGUGACAGGUACCCAAUCCUGUCGUGCCGGAGCUAACGCAUUAAGCAAUCCGCCUGGGGAGUACGGUCGCAAGGCUGAAACUUAAAGGAAUUGACG